UAUAGAGCUUUGAUGGGAAGAGUACUAGAUUUUGGAUAUCUAAAGAGAGCAGGGUUGGUGAGAAACUGCGAUGGAAAAUUCUAUGAACAUGGCCCCGGAGCUUAUUGCCUGAAGCUAAGCAUAAGGCAAUACGGGUUUGUAGCCGUUAAAAUACUGGGUGAUAAAAGCUAAACUUUUGUAAAAACAAAGCUGAGUCACUUGAUAAGAUAUUUGUUGUGAGACAAAUAUGAAAUAGAGUGGUACCGCGUAUUUAAUGCCUCUAUA
rnacentral:ncRNA from 1 species